rnacentral:rRNA from 1 species
CACGUAGGGUGCGAGCGUUGUCCGGAUUGACUGGGCGUAAAGCGCACGCAGGCGGACGCGCGCGUGGGGUGUGAAAUCUGGCCGCUUAACGGCCAGGCGCCAUCCCAUACGGCGUGUCUGGAGUGAUGCAGAGGUCGAUGGAAUUGCCGGUGUAGUGGUGAAAUGCGUAGAGAUCGGCAGGAACACCCAGGGGGAAACCAGUCGACUGGGCAUCUACUGACGCUGAGGUGCGAGAGCGUGGGGAGCGAACCGG